GGUGAUGUACCCAAGUGGUAAGGGAGAGCUCUGCAAAAGCUUUAUUCAGCGGUUCGAAUCCGCUCAUCACCUCCA
rnacentral:tRNA from 1 species